rnacentral:rRNA from 1 species
CAUUCACGGAGAGUUUGAUCCUGGCUCAGGACGAACGCUGGCGGCGUGCUUAACACAUGCAAGUCGAACGAUGAAGCCCUUCGGGGUGGAUUAGAGGCGAACGGGUGAGUAAUACGUGGGCAAUUUGCCCUGCACUCUGGGACAAGCCCUGGAAACGGGGUCUAAUACCGGAUAUGACACACGACCGCAUGGUCUGUGUGUGGAAAGCUCCGGCGGUGCAGGAUGAGCCCGCGGCCUAUCAGCUUGUUGGUGGGGUAAUGGCCUACCAAGGCGACGACGGGUAGCCGGCCUGAGAGGGCGACCGGCCACACUGGGACUGAGACACGGCCCAAGACUCCUACGGGAGGCAGCAGUGGGGAAUAUUGACAAUGGGCGCAAAGCCUGAUGCAGCGACGCCGCGUGAGUGAUGACUGCCU